GGUGGCUCAGUGGUAGAGCUCUUGCCUUGCAUGCAUGAAGCCCUGGGUUCGAUUCCUCAGCACCA
rfam:Dipodomys ordii contig_62185, whole genome shotgun sequence.